ACCACAAAAGAAUGUUUUCUUCUCAGUUUAAACUAUUUCUCAAGUUCUUAUAAUGAUGAUCUUAUACAAUAUUUGUCCUUUGACCUGCAGAGUAUUAAUGACUGCAUGCCAUUCCAACCAACCAACCAACCAACCAGUUACUCUUGAGUUGAUUCCAACUCACAGGGACCCCAUAGGUAUUAGAAUAGAACUGUACUCCAAAAUGUUUUCAAUGGCUGUUUUUUCUGGAAGCAUGCUGCCAGAUCUUUCUUUGGAGUGUCUCUGAGUGGACUUGAACUGCCAACCAUUUGGUUAGUAGCCAAGUGUUAGCCAAGUGUUAGUAGCCAGAGAACCCGGGAUGUCAUUACUCAUCUCUAAUAUCUGUAAAUGAGGAAGAUGAGUGGAGCUUGUUAAGUUCACUCCUAAAAUGGAGAAGUGGAAGAGUGGAGAGGAAAAUUAUGUGCACAGCACACAGAAAGGCCAAGACAAAACAGGAAGGGGAACUUGUUACCGAGCUCUUGUCUAAUUCCCUUUCCCCUAGAGAAACAACAUUGCUGCAACCCUUGGGCAUGCCAUCGCAUCUUCAUUCCUUUGCGCUCUCACAAAUGUAGUUUCCAAAUCAUUGCACGGGCCUCCACCCACCUACGUACAUUUGAAUACGACUUAUAUUUAGCUCGGAAGACAAGGAUUUGCUUGACCUAGACCAAAAUCAAAGGGAGGUGAGACUGUCGGAGCCUGGAAAGGGGGAGAAGAAGCUAAAAAAAAAAACUGGAUGUAUAGAGACUGCAGAAAAAUCUCUAACCUUGGAGAGAAGGAGCUCUAACCCCAGUGAUGACAGAGUUGAAUUAAAAUAUAAUGCUUCCCAGUAUCUGUUGCCAGGAAGCAGAUGACAUGCUAAAUUACUCUGCAGAUCGACUACUUAAUUCAGUGAUUUCCUGAGUCAGGAGUUGCCAGAAGAGCCAUUUUGUUCUUUCUGGCAAAAAAGCCACUGGGAUUGCUGUCUCCAGUCCUCUUUCCUCUGCUUCCUGCUGUAGGAAGGCCUGUUUCCUGUGGGGAGAUGCCUGAUUAGACAGCACUAUUUUAGUAGGUUUUCAUGCCAACAGCUUGGUGGUGGUCAGAGGGCGUCCUGCCACUGAGGGUGUUUUCACACAAGAAAAAUGUGCAUUGGCCAUGGAGUGCUGGAGAAGGGAAUCUUUCCCUGGAGGAGGGAGUUACCUAGCUAACCAGACCAUCCUUUCUAACUCUAUCCAUCUAUGAUUUCAUAUCUUACCACCCCUCGACAAUGAUUUUGCCAUUGAAGCUCUAUAGCUUAUUCUUAUAUUUUGUAUUUAAAUGAAAGAAUAUGAAAGAAAUACGUGAUAGCUGGUUUAAAGGAUGUAGAUAUUGCGUACUCUCUGCUCUUGACUUUUUAGGGGAUGUUUUCCAGUAUGAGAAUGAUGCAGGCUUGAGGGGGCUCUGGCUGCAUCGUCAGUUUUGGAAAUUAUUUUCACCUCUGCAAAAAGAGGGGAAAAAAAAAAAGAAAAAAGUUUGAAGCAUUCUUAUUCGCAUACUUCUCAUCGCUCUGGGGAAAAGUUUAACAGAAGUCAACGAUAUUAACUAAAAUGAAGUUUUGGGAAUAUUUUUAUGAAGACAUGCUAUUCUUUUUUUUUUUAUUAGUAUAAGUGAUGGUUAAUUAAAUUUUAGUACACAUCAAUAAAUGGAAAAUUAAUUCUAGUGUAUAUCAAAAAAGGGAGAAAACCUCUAAAUAAUCAGCUCAGCUUGUAAAUGUGGUAGGCACAUACAUUUUAUCCUGUCUUGCUCUGUUUUGAAUUCCUUAUUUGCACCUGGCAUUCACUAAAGGACCAGUUUAAAAUAGAGAAAAGAGCUUAUCUGUGGGAAUAAAUGGGAAAAAUGGACAAAGACAGUUUUAAAAAAUAGUUGCGGGAGAGGAUGGGUAACUUUGUACAUAUUCAAUUAUAUUUUACGGCUGGGAUAUUUAAAUCGGUGUGAUGCCUUCCAAAGUACAGACUUCCCAGUGAAUCAAAGUGAUUUAGAAAGAGAUAGCAUUAUUAAAGAUUAUGUAUUAUAGAGGAGGGGGAAUCACAAAUCACUUUGAAAAGAUGGAAUAUUCAAUAAAUGAUGUCAGGACAAUUGGUAAACUAUUAAAAAAAAAAACAUUAGAUUGUUGUUUAAUACCAUACAGCAAAAUAAA